GACGAACGCUGGCGGCGUGCUUAACACAUGCAAGUCGAACGGAAAGGCCCUGCUUUUGUGGGGUGCUCGAGUGGCGAACGGGUGAGUAGCACGUGAGUAACCUGCCCUUGACUUUGGGAUAACUUCAGGAAACUGGGGCUAAUACCGGAUAGGAGCUCCUGCUGCAUGGUGGGGGUUGGAAAGUUUCGGCGGUUGGGGAUGGACUCGCGGCUUAUCAGCUUUUUGGUGGGGUAGUGGCUUACCAAGGCUUUGACGGGUAGCCGGCCUGAGAGGGUGACCGGCCACAUUGGGACUGAGAUACGGCCCAGACUCCUACGGGAGGCAGCAGUGGGGAAUAUUGCACAAUGGGCGGAAGCCUGAUGCAGCAACGCCGCGUGCGGGAUGACGGCCUUCGGGUUGUAAACCGCUUUCGCCUGUGACGAAGCGUGAGUGACGGUAAUGGGUAAAGAAGCACCGGCUAACUACGUG
rnacentral:rRNA from 1 species